UACAGAGGGGGCCAGCGUUAUUCGGAAUUAUUGGGCGUAAAGGGCGCGUAGGCGGCCUGUUAAGUCGAACGUGAAAUCCCCGGGCUCAACCCGGGAACUGCGUCCGAUACUGGCAGGCUUGAAUCCGGGAGAGGGAUGCGGAAUUCCAGGUGUAGCGGUGAAAUGCGUAGAUAUCUGGAGGAACACCGGUGGCGAAGGCGGCAUCCUGGACCGGCAUUGACGCUGAGGCGCGAAAGCCAGGGGAGCAAACGGG
rnacentral:rRNA from 1 species